rnacentral:rRNA from 1 species
UACGGAGGGGGCUAGCGUUGUUCGGAAUUACUGGGCGUAAAGCGCACGUAGGCGGCUUUGCAAGUCGGGUGUGAAAUCCCCGGGCUUAACCUGGGAACUGCAUCCGAUACUGGAUGGCUUGAAUCCGGGAGAGGGAUGCAGAAUUCCAGGUGUAGCGGUGAAAUGCGUAGAUAUCUGGAGGAAUACCGGUGGCGAAGGCGGCAUCCUGGACCGGCAUUGACGCUGAGGAGCGAAAGCUAGGGGAGCAAACGGGG